GUAGCUAUAAAUAACGCAAUAAACAAGACAUCAAAGAGCAAAAAAAGUUUAAACCAUACCUAAAAAAUGAAGGCUUUUUUCAUAAUAUGCAUUAUCUUGGCAACUGCUCUCUUCUCUCCCUUUCUCAUCACUGCAAGAGAAUUAACAGAGGAUGGAAAAGGCAGUGUUACCCUUCCAGUUCCAAAACCCAAAGGCAAGCCAAUUGAAUGCAGUGGCAAAUAUUGCUUCCCUUUAAAGCCCCCGCACAUUGAAAAGCCUUGCACUAAGCCUCUGCCCCAAUGCAAUUAAUUAUCUAUCUAUCUAUCUAUGUAUAUGUGAAAUAAAUAUGUAUUUCCCAAUAAAUUGUUGAGAGGAUAUCUUUGAACCUAAGCCAAGUCUAAUAGGGGAUUUCUUUGGCUUUGCAAAAUCCUUAUUACAUGUAAUCCCAUCUUACAAUAGUAUAUAAUAACUCUUAAUUCAAGGCAACCAUGUUUUCGGAGUAAA